UCUCCGUAGGUGAACCUGCGGAGGGAUCAUUACUGAGUGAGGGCUUCGGUCCGACCUCCAACCCUUUGUGAACAUACCUAUAACUGUUGCUUCGGCGGGUAGGGUCUCCGCGACCUUCCCGGCCUCCCGCCUCCGGGCGGGUCGGCGCCCGCCGGAGGAUAACCAAACUCUGAUUUAACGACGUUUCUUCUGAGUGGUACAAGCAAAUAAUCAAAACUUUUAACAACGGAUCUCUUGGUUCUGGCAUCGAUGAAGAACGCAGC
rnacentral:misc_RNA from 1 species